GUAGACUCCUACGGGAGGCAGCAGGGGGAAUAUUGCACAAUGGGCGGAAGCCUGAUGCAGCAACGCCGCGUGCGGGAUGACGGCCUUCGGGUUGUAAACCGCUUUCGCCUGUGACGAAGCGUGAGUGACGGUAAUGGUAAAGAGCACCGGCUAACUACGUGCCAGCAGCCGCGGUGAUACGUAGGGUGCGAGCGUUGUCCGGAUUUAUUGGGCGUAAAGGGCUCGUAGGUGGUUGAUCGCGUCGGAAGUGUAAUCUUGGGGCUUAACCCUGAGCGUGCUUUCGAUACGGGUUGACUUGAGGAAGGUAGGGGAGAAUGGAAUUCCUGGUGGAGCGGUGGAAUGCGCAGAUAUCAGGAGGAAACACCAGUGGCGAAGGCGGUUCUCUGGGCCUUUCCUAACGCUGAGGAGCGAAAGCGUGGGGAGCGAACAGGAUUAGAUACCCUGGUAG
rnacentral:rRNA from 1 species